ensembl:snRNA U1 U1 spliceosomal RNA
AUACUUAACUGGUAGGGGAGCUACCAUGAUCAAGAAGUUAGUUUUUCGAGGGCAUGUCUCAGACAUUGUACUUGCUAUGUGCUGACCCCUGCAAUUUCCCUAACUGUGGGAAACUUGACUGUGUACUUUGUGACAGUGUGGUACUUUAUUCUUGCUCUCCCCUG